GCCCGCGCUGCUCAGCGCUACCGCUUCCCCGCAACUGUGCGGAGUGGGAGCCGGUGCCCGGUCCGACCGGCUUGGGCGGCGCGCCUUCACCCGGCGCCAGGUCCGGACCCCUCCCUAGUAGCUUCGCGGCCUCCCUGCCUCCUGUGCGCGGCCUGGCUCGGAGAGGUCGGGCGGGCAGGCUUUCCCGACUGCAGGCGAGGCAGUGCGCGGCUCACCCCAGUCCCCGACCCACGUGAAGCGUACAGGGCAUUUUAUUAACCGGGAAGGACGGUGCGGAAGAGCGAGCAGGACGCCUCUUCACCCCGCGUAGGCAGUGUCGUCGUUGCUGUCACUAAAGGCGGAGGAAGAGAGCUCUUCGCGGGGCGUGCAGACCGGGCACCGCUGCCGCAUGUCGUCCCAGCACGACCAGCAGUACACGGCCUCGCAGUCCAGCGUCCGGCACACGUAGGACUCGGGCGUCUCGGGUGCCUGGCACACCACGCAGCGCCGGCACAGCCAGCGGCGCAGGAGCGGGCAGCCGCGGUGCAGGAUAUCCGCCAGCGGGUGGCGCUGUUGGGAGGUGAGAAAACUGAUGCUUGGAGAUGUGAUCACUGCCCAGGGUCACCCAAUGAUAACAUGCAUGCAUAUGGAACUUGCUGCAUGCCAGCACCAUGAGUCCGCUCCCCAUGCUGUCCUCACCACAUUGCUCAUUUCUGAGGCCUGGAUGGUGGGCUUGCAAGGGAAGAUGACGGUUUUCUCCUCAGCUUUGCGGAGUGGCAGCAGAGUCCGUUUGCCCUGGAAAACAAAUGUCCACACAGUUAGGAAGCCCAAGGGCCCUCUGCCCUUUCCUCUCUGCCUUCCUGGAGCAUGAACCCACACAGGGCACACAGCAGCAAGGCAUCCCCGGGCAGUGCCGUGCCCACUCACCAGCUUCUUCCUGCGGUCAUCGAUCUGGCAGAAGUAGGUUCUCCUCAUCUAUCCCCAAACAUGGGCUUCCUUGAGGCACAGUCAUUCAACCAACCAGCCAGCAUUCAUUGAGCACCAUCUAUGUCCUGGGCACUGCUAGGGGAUGGUGAUAACAGGGAGAAGACUCUGUCCCUGCCUUCCAAUUGUGUAGAGGAAGACAUCCCCCUACAUGAUGGGUGAGACAUAGCAGAAGUGAGUAGGGGAUGAGGUGGGGGCUCAGAGGAGGGCAUGGUCAGCCUGUCUGGGAGGGAGUUGCAUGUGUGCAUCUGAGGUAGGGACAGGCAUGCAUCUUACAGGAUGAAUAUCGAGCAGAGUUACAGAGAGGGGGAAACUCCUUGAGGUUUCAGGAAUCACCUAAUCCACUGUGACUCACAAAUUCCUGCCUCUUGGCUUUGCCUGCAGCAUAUCUCCUGGAAGUGUGCUGGGGCAAAACUCAUCCCAGACCACCAUCUCCAUCCUCCCCCAAUACACCCUGGCUCUCCCUGGCUACCCUUGAGCACGGUGCACGUGUGCAUGGGUGCAUGCCUGCAUAUAUAGCUAUCCCCCAUGUAUUUCCCAAAGCCCUACAUAAUGCUUCAGUUUGCUAAGGAAAAAAUGUUAAUUACUGCAAAUGUGUUUAAAACUGUAAAAGUACA
rnacentral:lncRNA from 1 species